rnacentral:rRNA from 1 species
UGGGGAAUUUUGGACAAUGGGGGCAACCCUGAUCCAGCCAUGCCGCGUGAGUGAAGAAGGCCUUCGGGUUGUAAAGCUCUUUCGGACGGAACGAAAUGGUUACGGUCAAUACCCGUGACUGAUGACGGUACCGUAAGAAGAAGCACCGGCUAACUACGUGCCAGCAGCCGCGGUAAUACGUAGGGUGCGAGCGUUAAUCGGAAUUACUGGGCGUAAAGCGUGCGCAGGCGGUUUCGUAAGCUGGAGGUGA